rnacentral:lncRNA from 1 species
AAUGCAGUGUUGACAAUAGAAAAUUAUAUUGGGAAGUUGUCAUUUCUACAGUAAAAACAGCUUUUUUUUCAAGUAGUACGAAUUGUGACUUCGAUUUAUCUGUGGAACUAUUUGAACAGAAGGUAAAGCAGUAAUUUUGUUGUACUUAGAAAGCAAACAGGGUCAUAUUUUUAAAAAUAUAGCGCACUGAAUAUAAAUUUGAGCAUCAUUAAAAUGUGUUCGCUAUGAUGCCAUUUUGUCUCCGGUAUAUACUGAGUUCUGCUUUUAUACUUGUGGAUAUUCGAAUUUAUUUGGCUCAAAAACACCAUUACUUCAAUAUCCCUUUUUUGUUUUUCCUUGGAUAGGUUUUAACAAGAUAGAACUCUAGAUCACUUGGGUCCAAAGACGCUAGAUUAUAAAAUCCUGAUGUGACUUGAUACUACGAAUAGAAUAUGUCUUAUGAUUUAAUACUACAAAUAGAAUGUCUUUUAAGUACAAACUUCAAUGAAUUGAUAAAGUGUAAGGAUAGUGUUUAAAGUCGCUUCAUGUGUAGAAGCUGAAUUACUUUAGUUUAUACACUGUAUAUUGUCGAGAUCACAUGUUGAUAUGACUUAAUACCAGCAACUUGCAAUAAGUGGUCUGUUCUGCUUGUUUAUAAUACUUUAGAGUUUGGACAUCAGAACAUUGUAAUUGCCUGACAGAGACUGUUAGGGCCUGUUUGUAUGGAAGCUGGGUUGGCCCGCUUAGCAAGACAGCCCGGUAAGGUAGGUAUUAAAGCAGGAUGAUUUCUCUUGUGUUUAUUUGAGAAAAUUUCAUUCUGCUUACCAGGACAAUUUUGUUGUUUUGACAUUAUUUUGACAGUUGUUAAAAAUAGCUUGCGGCAGUAUCUUUGAACUUUCAUCCUGGCAACCGGGCUAGCCUGCUUAUGAUUGUUUAUGUGGAGAAAUUUCCAUCCUGGUCUUGGCAACCGGGCCUGCCCGCUUGUCGAUAGAAAUGAUAAUUUGUACUAUAAAAAUAACUAGACAGCGAGAUCUCACUUACCGGGCUGUCUCACUUAGCGGGUUAGCCAGUUUCAAUAUAAAGAGGCCCUUACACAACUGCUAAAAGCUGAAAGUUUCUUUAAAGCAAUAUCAUCUAUAUCACAGAAUACAGUUUCUGUAGUGACUCUCAUUGUAACUCAGUAGUCUCAGUUAUUCCUUCUCAAGAAAAAUAAAAAACAAAGCUGUGUGGGUGUGUUUUUGCUCUAGCUAGUUUUUACAUUUAC